UGGUAGCGAACGCCUAAGUCGCCGCAAUUUCCUGUGCGGCGACGCGGGGGAACCACCGGCGACAGCGGCUCAUCGCUGUUGCCCGGGGCGCACGCCGAAGCUCUCUUCGGCGGGGUCACUUCCUAGGACCUAGCCCGUCAGCUAACCUCGUCGGCAUUGGGAAGGGCGAUA
rnacentral:sRNA from 2 species